UACGUAGGAUGCAAGCGUUGUCCGGAAUUAUUGGGCGUAAAGAGCUCGUAGGCGGUUUGUCGCGUCGAAUGUGAAAACCCGGGGCUCAACCCCGGGCCUGCAUUCGAUACGGGCAGACUAGAGUUCGGUAGGGGAGUCUGGAAUUCCUGGUGUAGCGGUGAAAUGCGCAGAUAUCAGGAGGAACACCGGUGGCGAAGGCGGGACUCUGGGCCGAUACUGACGCUGAGGAGCGAAAGCGUGGGGAGCAAACAGG
rnacentral:rRNA from 1 species